UACGAAGGGGGCAAGCGUUGUCCGGAUUUAUUGGGCGUAAAGAGCGUGUAGGCGGCCAGGUAGGUCAGCUGUGAAAACUCGAGGCUCAACCUCGAGACGCCGGUUGAAACCGUCUGGCUAGAGUCCGGAAGAGGAGAGUGGAAUUCCCGGUGUAGCGGUGAAAUGCGCAGAUAUCGGGAAGAACACCCGUGGCGAAGGCGGCUCUCUGGGACGGUACUGACGCUGAGACGCGAAAGCGUGGGGAGCGAACAGG
rnacentral:rRNA from 1 species